rnacentral:lncRNA from 1 species
AAGACAGUAUGCAAGAUGCUUAUAAAAAAGUGUUUAUAUAUUUUCAUAGCAAGUAGUAUUCAUCAAAACGAAAAAAAAAAUCUAAUAAAUAUUAAGCUUACAAUUAAUAUUUUUGAAAAUAAUAAGUUAGCUUUUUAUUUGACAUCUGUCAUUUUCAUGUUGUUGCAUUACAUUUUGGUUUUCUUCCCACUUCAGCUACAGAUAAAACCAGUAGUUCAGCCUGCCAAUUUCUUGACCUUAAUCCCUUAGAUUUUUGGCUAAGGAGACAUUUAAAGAUCUUGGUAUACUCAACAUUCAUCAAUGGUGUCCAAAUAUUGCUGGAGCAUAUGCUCACUCCAUUUCAUCAAAUUUGACAAGAGUCAGGUAUAUUCACAAGAAUGCAUGAUUCUCUGAGAGACAAGAGUUGAAGAAUGGGCAAUAAGAGAACUAUAUAAAACACCUCCUAUAGUGAUGACAAAGACUGGACCACAUCUCAACAUGCAUUUAUUUUAAGAUCUAUAAUCAUUAGACUUUUUUCUUGUUUUGGUCCAUAUUAUCUUUGAUGAAAAUAUGUGAUCCUUUUUUUAAACAUCCUAUGUAGAUAGUUCUCACCUUACAAUUGCCUAAAUCUAUGACCACAUGUACUUAUGAUAGUGAUGUCAUUAAUAAAUUCUGUGAUUGAUCAAUACAGUUGACAUGGAUUCAAGUCUCUAAGCAAUGGUCUGAUAUACAGAAAGCAUUCUUUUUAUAUCUUGUUCUUUUAGUUUUUG